AUUGAACGCUGGCGGCAGGCCUAACACAUGCAAGUCGAACGAGUGGCGGACGGGUGAGUAAUGUCUGGGAAACUGCCUGAUGGAGGGGGAUAACUACGGGAAACGGUAGCUACUACCGCAUACCAUCAGAUGUGCCCAGGUGGGGUUAGCGAGUGGGUGGGUGAAAGGCUCACAAAGGCGACUAUCCCUACCUGGUCUGAUAGGAUGAUCAGCCACACUGGAACUGAUACAAGGUCCAGACGCCUACGGGAGGAAGCAGUGGGGAAUAUUGCACAAUGGGCGAAAGCCUGAUGCAGCAAUGCCGCGUGUAUGAAGAAGGCCUUCGGGUUGUAAAGUACUUUCAGGGGGGAGGCGUUACCUGCAGAAGAAGCACCGGCUAACUCCGUGCCAGCAGCCGCGGUAAUUC
rnacentral:rRNA from 1 species